GACGAACGCUGGCGGCGUGCUUAACACAUGCAAGUCGAACGGAAAGGCCCUGCUUUUGUUGGGCGCUCGAGUGGCGAACGGGGGAGUAACACAUGAGUAACCUGCCCUUGACUUUGUGAUAACUUCAGGAAACUGGGGCUAAUACCGGGUAGGAGCUCCUGCUGCAUGGGGGUGGUUGGAAAGUUUCGGCGGUUGGGGAUGGACUCGCGGCUUAUCAGCUUGUUGGUGGGGUAGUUGCUUACCAGGGCUUUGACGGGUACCCGACCUGAGAGGGUGACCGGCCACCUUGGGACUGCGAUACGGCCCAGAAUCCUACGGGAGGCAGCAGUGGGGAAUCUUGCGCAAUGGGCGGACGCCUGAUGCAGCAACGCCGCGUGCGGGAUGACGGCCUUCGGGUUGUAAACCGAUUUCGACUGUGACGAAGAGUGAGUGACGGUACUGGGUAAAGAAGCACCGGCUAACUACGUG
rnacentral:rRNA from 1 species